rnacentral:lncRNA from 1 species
UAGUGAUGUAAGCUGCUUGGGGACAGCUUUCCAUAAAGGACACCUUAGUCAUUUGAAGGGAAUCCAUUCCAAGCCCUGAUAAUCAUGGAAAAGUUGACAAAUUAAAAGUAUUCCAGAAAGAUCCCUGGCUGAGGGAAGCAAAGGUGGCCAGACAUUACUGAGUGGGACAAGGUAGGUGUAUACUGUGUUUUCACAGCAGUCCUGCUUGGGAAGACAUUAUCACCACCAUUUUUUGGAGUGAGGAAACUGAAAUUCAAAGACAUGUGAAAAUUGUCCUCAAAUACCCAAGCCUAUCUGAUUUCACAACACAGUGGGGAGGCCUGAAGUUGGUCCCAGUCUGCCAUUAAACUGCAAUACCCACUUGGUCAGGUCAUUAUAGCUCUCUGAAACUCUAUGCCCCACUCCAUAGCUUGACCUCAGAGGUAAAGGAAUUGCAUCCUCACAUACACUUACCAAGCUAUCACAGAAGAGCUUGGGUAAAAUUCUCAACAUUGCAUCAAAGACAAGCCAAUAAUUGAUACCUACUGUUAUUAUCAGGCACUAAUGGGAAGAAGGUACUGUGCCAUGAAUGUUUGCAGACCUGUGGGAUUUCCUCUUAUAGAACACAUUAAUUAGAGACCUAAUGAGUACUAGUGAAUGAGAUUGUGCAGAAGGAAAAUAGGGGAACUCCUAGUCCAUUUUCUGUUGCUGUAAAUGAUGUACUUUAUAAGGAAGUUUGUUUAGUUCAUAGUUUUGAAGGUUGAAAAUCCAAGAUCAGCUUCACCAUCUGUUUGGCCUCUAGUGGACACUGUCCUGGCUAUCUCUCAACCUGGUGGGAACAAGUGUGAGAAGGAGAGAUCACGUGGUGAGACAGAAGCCAGAGUGAUGCAGGAGCCAGGCUUGCUCUAACAAUCUUUUCUUGCAGGAACUAACCAGGGCCCUAUAGGAAUACAUUAAUCCUUUCCACAGGUGGCACCCUCAAUGACCUAACCACCUUCUACUAGGCCCCACCUCUUAAAGGUCUCACCUCUUCUUAACAUUGCCACACUGGACAUGGGACCAACACUUGUGGACCAGGCUUCCAGCACAUGAGCCUUUGUGAGAACAAACCAUAUCCAAACCAUAGAAGGGAGAAAAUGUGCUUGGAUACAUAGGAGGUUAAACGAAGUUUAAUGGGAAUUUGAUAAUAACCCAUGGGACUUUGUCAAUGAAGGAAAGACCUAAAGGGAGACCAGAAAUAUGUUUCUAGAAAGAGACCAGAGGCAAAGAAAAAAGAAGGAGACGGCUUCUAGUUUGGAGUGAUUUGUUAGGCAGGAAUAACAUAUUUUUCUUUCUUUUUUAUAUGGUUAUCAGAUUGAUUUUAGCAUCAUUUGUUGAAAAAUACUGCUCAUUUUCCAUCGAAUUGCCCAUGCACAAUUGUUGGAACAAAGUCACUUCAGAACAUGAGUUUUGGAACUCUCCAUUCUGUUAGAUUGAUCCAGCUGCUGUUGACUAGGGUAAAACAGCAUCUUGACUGCAGCAGCUUUUUACAGGCUACAGAGUCAGGUAGUUAGGUCUCCAACUUGUUCUUCUUUUUCAAAAUCAUUUUGGCUCUUUGUCCACUGCAUUUUCAUGUGAAUUUUACAGUCUUGUCAGUUUCUACAAAAAGGUUGCUGGGAUUCUGAUUGGGUUUGUAUUACAUGGACAGAUCACCAAGGAAAAUACAUAUACCUCGCUGUGAGUGUGGGGUCAGCUCAAAGAAGCCACUGUGGUCUACCUGGGAAUGGCAGGUUAGUUCCUGGAUGUCAGACAGCUUUUCUCUUCCUUGGUUGGGAAAGUACUAGGUCAAAACUUCCACAGUGUAUUUUGAUAACAGUAUAGUAUAAUCUUUGUGGAAUUCCGAACAAAAUAUUAUAAGAAACAUUCAUUUGUGCCCAAGGGCCAUGAAACUGAUGUAAUUUGAAUGCAAUAAAAUAU